rnacentral:rRNA from 1 species
AGUCGAACGAUGAAGCCCAGCUUGCUGGGUGGAUUAGUGGCGAACGGGUGAGUAACACGUGAGCAACGUGCCCAUAACUCUGGGAUAACCUCCGGAAACGGUGGCUAAUACUGGAUAUCUAACACGAUCGCAUGGUCUGUGUUUGGAAAGAUUUUUUGGUUAUGGAUCGGCUCACGGCCUAUCAGCUUGUUGGUGAGGUAAUGGCUCACCAAGGCGACGACGGGUAGCCGGCCUGAGAGGGUGACCGGCCACACUGGGACUGAGACACGGCCCAGACUCCUACGGGAGGCAGCAGUGGGGAAUAUUGCACAAUGGGCGAAAGCCUGAUGCAGCAACGCCGCGUGAGGGAUGACGGCCUUCGGGUUGUAAACCUCUUUUAGUAGGGAAGAAGCGAAAGUGACGGUACCUGCAGAAAAAGCACCGGCUAACUACGUGCCAGCAGCCGCGGUAAUACGUAGGGUGCAAGCGUUGUCCGGAAUUAUUGGGCGUAAAGAGCUCGUAGGCGGUUUGUCGCGUCUGCUGUGAAAUCCCGAGGCUCAACCUCGGGUCUGCAGUGGGUACGGGCAGACUAGAGUGUGGUAGGGGAGAUUGGAAUUCCUGGUGUAGCGGUGGAAUGCGCAGAUAUCAGGAGGAACACCGAUGGCGAAGGCAGAUCUCUGGGCCAUUACUGACGCUGAGGAGCGAAAGCAUGGGGAGCGAACAGGAUUAGAUACCCUGGUAGUCCAUGCCGUAAACGUUGGGCGCUAGAUGUGGGGACCAUUCCACGGUUUCCGUGUCGUAGCUAACGCAUUAAGCGCCCCGCCUGGGGAGUACGGCCGCAAGGCUAAAACUCAAAGGAAUUGACGGGGGCCCGCACAAGCGGCGGAGCAUGCGGAUUAAUUCGAUGCAACGCGAAGAACCUUACCAAGGCUUGACAUAUACCGGAAACGUUCAGAAAUGUUCGCCCCGCAAGGUCGG